CGCGCCCCCUGUAGGAGCCGGAGCUUCCUGGUGCGCUCUUCCACCCGCGCCUGUCUCUGGUGCUUCCUCCCCGCAGGGCUGUCAGCGCCGGCUGCAGCCGCCCCUGCGAGGCUGGAGCGGAACCGGGAAUCUCAGGGAGGGAACUUGGCGAGGGAGCUACGCCGACCGCCGCCACCCUGGCGCUGAGGGUCGAAGAUCCAUGGUUACCUCCCUGGAGACUCCUGCUGCUUCAUUACCUCAUUUCCCAUGCCUACGAAGGCAGAAAAGUCAGCUAUCCAGGGAAUGAGACAAAGACUGCAGCCUGGGAAUCAGGCAGGAAAGCAAGCAGCAGCAGAAAUAUUGUGGAAUUCUCUUCAUAGAACCUUCUUUGGGCCACAUAUUAGGCCUAAAAUAUACCCUACUGAGUCUCACCAAAAGCAUCCUGUUCUAGGGAGACCACUGCCACCAACUCUGGGUAGAGCAGGUAAUGAUGAGUGUAUGUUCAGAAGCUGCAUUUCUUUAUCUACCUUGACCUCUAGAACAAAUCACCCAAUCUCAGACCUGGCUUCCUAAAGCUCUGAAACAGAGGCUCUGGCUUACAGGCCAUGAUCACCUCAUCCAUAUAAGGGCCAUUGUGUAAGCAAGUCAUCCCCAUACACUUUUCCUAGUAUACUGCUAUAUAGAAAAGAAUUUGAGAGUGUCUAUAUACAGUCAAAUAAUAAAUCCCAACAAAUGAAUCUAGAAAUAUAGAUGAAUAUGGACCCUUUAAAACUGAUACAAGGUGAG
rnacentral:lncRNA from 1 species